rnacentral:lncRNA from 1 species
CUUGUGCACAUCUGUGGAUCAAGACAUUAACAUGUUAUGCUAAUAAGAUAUGAAAAAAUUCAUCCUUGGUAGAGUACCAGUGACAGACCAGAGUAACAAUUCCCCUGAAGUCCAACUUGAUGAAGCAAUCAAUGAGCAAGGGUGAUGGAAGUGUUACUUCUAGGCUCCUGGAUGACUCAAAGGAAGCUGUAGCACUAGAAAUCCCAUUCCAGUAUGUGCAAUGAUUCCCAGAAGCUCUAUCUCUGGAGCUUCCCAUACCACUUGAAGGCAGCUUGACUGGUGGGAAAGUCUCUUCUCCCCAGUAAAUGUUUCUGCUCAUAUAGCCUUUGGGAGAAGCAUUGUGUAUCUUGUAAGUCUUAGGAACUUCAUGAGAUUUGUGAGUUGUUGUUGUCUUUUUCUUGUUUUUUUUUUUCUGGAGCCUUGAAAGCUUCAUUUUACUUUCUGAAUCUUAACUCUCCUCUGAGAUAGAGUGGCUUGGUUUAGAGAAAACUGCCAUACAAUAGAUGCAUUUGAAAGGACAUAAAGGAGCCCCACUGUGUGAAGCACCUCUGCAGUGACCCCAAAACAGUUAGGUAGGUCUCCUGUGAGGAAGAAGUCCCCAUGAGGAUACAGUGAAGAAGUGAGAGCCUUUAGCAGGCUGUUCCCAGCCAAGAUGCCUACUCCCUUGCUGUCAGUCCAGCCCUUAGUGUGUGCCCCGGGACUCAGAGCUCUCAAGCAGUACUGGAAGGUUACAUGCAGGUGGCCACCAUUUCUUUCCAUCCUAACUUCCUUCUGUGCCUUCAUUUUCCAGUUGAGGAAGAGAGAAGAAGAGCAAGGAAGCUGGCUUUAACUCCCUGUGUCAGAGUUCAGCCUCCUACAGGCCUCUUGGAACUUUUGCAUUGUAGACUGAAAGCAAAGGCGCUAAGGAAACCAAGAAUGAAGUGGCAGAUAUGGGCCAUCAUCUUUGAGGGUGUGAAAGAAGAUUGGAGACCCUAUCUUGGUGGUCUUCUUUAGCUUGGACCAUGUGGGAGAGCCUCCAUGCAAUAUCUAUUUUCCAUGUGGUACUGGAUAUAAAAGCCAAGGCCUUGCAUAUACAAGGUAAUCCUCUGUCGUUGAACCACAGCCCUAGCCCUAUUCAAAGUCUCUUAAACUUCCCAUGAACAGAAUCGUGUUUCCCUUUUUUAGGUCUGAUUUGAGCAGGCUGUAGAGGUGAUACAACCCAGCACCUGAGGGGAUCAAGAGAUCAAGGUCAUGUGAUAGCCCCGACCUCAGAACAACUGACCCUGUGACGGAAGUUCCCCUUAGGCUGUAGAACUCAGCUUGUAGACAGCACCACCUGCCAAAAUUAAAACAAGGGCCUGGUCCAUCCCCAGACCAUAUAUUUUCUGGAAAGUCUCUAAAUGUAUUAACUCUGCUUUUUAGCGUCUGUAGCUCCCCUUCUUGCUAACUGUUCUUGUUAAUUGAAGAAUGUCAACCCAGAAUAUGUUUUUUUUGCUUAAAAACUCACCUAGAGAAAGGCUUAGUGCUACACUGGGAACCUGAACACCUAGUGUAGUCACAGACUGGCUAAUAAGGACUUUCUAUUGGCUUAAACCCAUUUCCUAGAGUUCUCUGGUGGAUACCCCACAUCAGUUACCCUCAGUUAUACAGUGAGUUUGAAGCCAGUCUGAAUUACGUGGGAGCCUGUCUCAAUGAAAAAUGAUUUUUCAUAAAACAUGCUUCAUAGAUGAUUCUUUUACUGAGAGUUUGGGUUUGCUUUUUCCUUUCCUUUCCUUUCCUUUCC